rnacentral:lncRNA from 1 species
GAUGGGCGGAUCACGAGGUCAGGAGAUCGAGGCCAUCCUGGCUAACACAGUGAAACCCCAUCUCUACUAAAAAUACAAAAAAUAAGCCGGGUGUGGUGGCGCCUGUAGUCCCAGCUACUCGGGAGACUGAGGCAGGAGAAUGGCGGGAACCCGGGAGGCAGAGCUUGCAGUGAGCCGAGAUCGUGCCACUGCACUCCAGCCUGGGCGACAGAGUGAGACUCUGUCUCAAAAAAAAAAAAAAAAAAAAGAAAAUCAUAAGGGAGGGAAGACACUAUUCAUUAAAUGGAAGUGGAUUAUCAUACAGGUUUUGAUCCUCAUCAUCUUCACAUGGAGCAGGCUGAGGGGAAGGAGGAAAAGGAGGGGUUAGUCUUGCUCAGAGGAGGCAGAAAUGGAAGAGGUGGAGGAGGAAGAAGUGGAGGAUGGAGAGGCAGUCACCUGUGGUGUAACUUUAUGGAAAUAUAUCAUAAGUUGUCUGACUUUUCUGCUUUUUUAUUUCUCUAAGAAUGUUUCUAUAUGGCAUCAAACUUCUACCAUUUGCUUUAGUUUCACAGUGCCUGUACCAUAAGGGUCCAUGUUAAAAGGAAAUCAAAAGCAGUUUUGAAGAAUGGGAACCCUUCUACCAGUUUGUCUAAUGUCAAUUUGUUUUCGGGCACUGCUUCUGCUUGUCUUUGUCUCAUUGUCCGGCACUGGUUCAGAAGCGUUCAUCUCCAGCAAGUCAUCUGCUGUUAAUUCCUCUGGUGUGGCAUCUGCUAGCUCCUUAAUUUUUUCCCUCACCCCUCACCUCAUUUUCCUAUUCACAGUUUCUUUCUCUUUCAUGAUGUCCUUGACUGGCUCUGUCGUAAAUCCUGUGAAGUCAUGCACAACAUCCAGACAGUUUCUCCAGCAGGAAUUUAUUGUUUUGGCUUGAUGGCUUUCACAGCUUUUUCUGUAACAAUGAUGGCAUCUUCAGUGGUGUCAUCCUUCCAUAAGACUUUCAUAAUGUUCUAUCAGGGUUCUCUUCUAUAAUGUUGACAAUCCUUUCUAUAGAGUACCAUGUGUAAUGAGCCUUGAAGGCCCUUAUGACCCCCAAUUGAGAGGCUGAAUUAGAGAGGUUGUGUUGGGAGGCAAGUAAACCAUUUUGACAUCUUCAGUGUUAAACUCAUGCGGUUCUGGGUGGCCAGAAGCACUGUCCAAUAUCAAAAGAAUUUUAAAGGAUAGUGUCUUACUGGCAAGAUACUUCCUGACCUCAGGGACAAGGUAUCAAUGGAACCAAUCCAGGAAAAGGGUUCCAGUUGUCAGACCUUCCUGUUGUACAGCCAAAAGACUGAGAGCUGGUGUUAUCUUUUCCCUUCAAGGCUCA